UACGGGGGGAGCAAGCGUUGUUCGGAUUUACUGGGCGUAAAGGGCGCGUAGGCGGUCAGCACAAGUCAGUUGUGAAAACUCGAGGCUCAACCUCGAGCUGUCGGCGGAAACCAUCUGGCUAGAGUCCGGAAGAGGAGAGUGGAAUUCCGGGUGUAGCGGUGGAAUGCGUAGAGAUCCGGAAGAACACCCGUGGCUAAGGCGGCUCUCUAGUACGUGACUGACGCUGAGACGCGAAAGCGUGGGGAGCGAACAGG
rnacentral:rRNA from 1 species